AUUUACUCAAAAACAUGAUUACAUAUUACUUAUAAUAAACUAAAUAUUUCUUAGUAAAUAUUUCAAAAGUGGAUGAACUCCAGUGCAUGACGAAAGCAGAAUGGAUAUAUUAACACAACUGUAUGCACCCUCGCUUCAUAGUUAGCAGUGGUGAAUGAUCUCAGCAGAAACUGGAAGCGGGAAACAGAUAAAAUCCAUUGGAGUAGACUGGGAGGAAAUGAAAGACUGUGGAUUCCUUCAACGUUAAUAGAGAUCAGGUUUGAUCGGGGAGACCUCCUGAAAAUUUUGAUAAUAAAGAAAUAAACCAAGAAAAAAAAAUACAAGACAGGGUGCCCUGGAGAUACUGUUGCCUCCAGACAACGGGAAGCGGUCUAGAGAACACAACACCUACAUUCCCAUCCCAAGAGUGAGACACAUCUACUCCUGGCAGAACCAAUCUACUUCAUAAAAGGAUGAUGGGCAUCAAAGAACCUCCAUAUAGAGUUUGCUUUCAUUGUGGCAAAGCUAGCCAUUUGGGCAAGAAACUGUCUUUGCUUCGACAGCUGACCAUCCAAACUGGACAUGCAGGACACAAAGGAAAGAGACUGCCCAAUUUUGCCAGAACAAGGGCCAGCACAACAGGGCCAGUCUUGGAGAGGAACCCUCCAAAGUUGCAAAUCCAACUUCUUUUUUUAACAAGUUGAACAUCUCAGGUAUUCUCCAGUGAUGGAAAAUCUGGCUAACACAAACCUCCUUCCCUGGUACCAGUGGGAGACGAGAUUAGAUCUGGCUUCGGGUAAUUAGUUUUGGAGCAAAUGUUCUAAUAAUGAAAUAAAAUGAAUUUCUUUAAA